ensembl:snRNA U6 U6 spliceosomal RNA
GUGCUCACUGUGGUAGCACAUAUACUAAAACUGGAACAAUACUGAAAAGAUUAGCAUGGCCCCCAUGCAAAGAUGACGUGCAACUUGAUGAAUUUUCUUCCUGAAUU